rnacentral:rRNA from 1 species
AGAGUUUGAUCCUGGCUCAGAACGAACGCUGGCGGCAGGCCUCAAACAUGCAAGUCUAGGGGACGUAGCAAUACGUCACCGGCGGACGGGUGCGUAACACGUGGGAACGUACCCUUUGGUUCGGAACAACGCAGGGAACUUGCGCUAAUACCGGAUGAGCCGAAAGGGGAAAGAUUUAUCGCCAAAGGAUCGGCCCGCGU